GCUGGGUGUGGUGGCUCACACCUGUAAUCCCAGCUUCUUGGGAGGCUGAGGUGGGAGGAUCCCUUGAGCCCAAGAGUUCGAGGCUGCAGUGAGCUAUGAUCACAUCACUGCACUGUAGCCUGAGUGACAGAGAGAUACCCUGUCUCUU
ensembl:misc_RNA Metazoa_SRP Metazoan signal recognition particle RNA